rnacentral:rRNA from 1 species
AUUGAACGCUGGCGGCAGGCCUAACACAUGCAAGUCGAGCGGAUGAAGAGAGCUUGCUCUCUGAUUUAGCGGCGGACGGGUGAGUAAUGCCUAGGAAUCUGCCUGGUAGUGGGGGAUAACGUCCGGAAACGGGCGCUAAUACCGCAUACGUCCUACGGGAGAAAGCAGGGGACCUUCGGGCCUUGCGCUAUCAGAUGAGCCUAGGUCGGAUUAGCUAGUUGGUGAGGUAAUGGCUCACCAAGGCUACGAUCCGUAACUGGUCUGAGAGGAUGAUCAGUCACACUGGAACGGAGACACGGUCCAGACUCCAACGGGAGGCAGCAGUGGGGAAUAUUGGACAGUGGGCGAAAGCCUGAUCCAGCCAUGCCGCGUGUGUGAAGAAGGUCUUCGGAUUGUAAAGCACUUUAAGUUGGGAGGAAGGGCAGUAAGUUAAUACCUUGCUGUUUUGACGUUACCGAUAGAAUAAGCACCGGCUAACUUCGUGCCAGCCGCCGCGGUAAAAC